rnacentral:rRNA from 1 species
UUAAUGGAGAGUUUGAUCCUGGCUCAGGACGAACGCUGGCGGCAUGCCUAAUACAUGCAAGUCGAGCGGACUAGAUGAAGAAGCUUGCUUCUUCUGACGGUUAGCGGCGGACGGGUGAGUAACACGUAGGCAACCUGCCUUUCAGUUUGGGAUAACUUCCGGAAACGGAUGCUAAUACCGAAUACAUCAUCUUCUGGCAUCAGAGAAUGAGGAAAGACGG